rnacentral:rRNA from 1 species
GUGGGGAAUUUUGGACAAUGGGCGAAAGCCUGAUCCAGCCAUGCCGCGUGCAGGAUGAAGGCCUUCGGGUUGUAAACUGCUUUUGUACGGAACGAAAAGACUCUGGUUAAUACCUGGGGUCCAUGACGGUACCGUAAGAAUAAGCACCGGCUAACUACGUGCCAGCAGCCGCGGUAAUACGUAGGGUGCGCGCGUUAAUCGGAAUUACUGGGCGUAAAGCGUGCGCAGGCGGUGCUGUAAGACAGGCGUGAAAUCCCCGGGCUCAACCUGGGAAUUGCGCUUGUGACUGCAGUGCUGGAGUGCGGCAGAGGGGGAUGGAAUUCCGCGUGUAGCAGUGAAAUGCGUAGAUAUGCGGAGGAACACCGAUGGCGAAGGCAAUCCCCUGGGCCUGCACUGACGCUCAUGCACGAAAGCGUGGGGAGCAAACAGGAUUAGAUACCCUAGUAGUCC